AGAGUUUGAUCCUGGCUCAGGACGAACGCUGGCGGCGCGCCUAACACAUGCAAGUCGAACGAGCGAGAGAGAGCUUGCUUUCUCGAGCGAGUGGCGAACGGGUGAGUAACGCGUGAGGAACCUGCCUCAAAGAGGGGGACAACAGUUGGAAACGACUGCUAAUACCGCAUAAGCCCACAGCUCGGCAUCGAGCAGAGGGAAAAGGAGCAAUCCGCUUUGAGAUGGCCUCGCGUCCGAUUAGCUAGUUGGUGAGGUAACGGCCCACCAAGGCGACGAUCGGUAGCCGGACUGAGAGGUUGAACGGCCACAUUGGGACUGAGACACGGCCCAGACUCCUACGGGAGGCAGCAGUGGGGAAUAUUGCACAAUGGGGGAAACCCUGAUGCAGCGACGCCACGUGGAGGAAGAAGGUCUUCGGAUUGUAAACUCCUGUUGUUGAGGAAGAUAAUGACGGUACUCAACAAGGAAGUGACGGCUAACUACGUGCCAGCAGCCGCGGUAAAACGUAGGUCACAAGCGUUGUCCGGAAUUACUGGGUGUAAAGGGAGCGCAGGCGGGAAGGCAAGUUGGAAGUGAAAUCCAUGGGCUCAACCCAUGAACUGCUUUCAAAACUGUUUUUCUUGAGUAGUGCAGAGGUAGGCGGAAUUCCCGGUGUAGCGGUGGAAUGCGUAGAUAUCGGGAGGAACACCAGUGGCGAAGGCGGCCUACUGGGCACCAACUGACGCUGAGGCUCGAAAGUGUGGGUAGCAAACAGGAUUAGAUACCCUGGUAGUCCACACUGUAAACGAUGAUUACUAGGUGUUGGAGGAUUGACCCCUUCAGUGCCGCAGUUAACACAAUAAGUAAUCCACCUGGGGAGUACGACCGCAAGGUUGAAACUCAAAGGAAUUGACGGGGGCCCGCACAAGCAGUGGAGUAUGUGGUUUAAUUCGACGCAACGCGAAGAACCUUACCAAGUCUUGACAUCCUGCGACGCACAUAGAAAUAUGUGUUUCCUUCGGGACGCAGAGACAGGUGGUGCAUGGUUGUCGUCAGCUCGUGUCGUGAGAUGUUGGGUUAAGUCCCGCAACGAGCGCAACCCUUAUGGUCAGUUACUACGCAAGAGGACUCUGGCCAGACUGCCGUUGACAAAACGGAGGAAGGUGGGGAUGACGUCAAAUCAUCAUGCCCUUUAUGACUUGGGCUACACACGUACUACAAUGGCGUUAAACAAAGAGAAGCAAGACCGCGAGGUGGAGCAAAACUCAGAAACAACGUCCCAGUUCGGACUGCAGGCUGCAACUCGCCUGCACGAAGUCGGAAUUGCUAGUAAUCGCAGAUCAGCAUGCUGCGGUGAAUACGUUCCCGGGCCUUGUACACA
rnacentral:rRNA from 1 species